UACGUAGGGGGCAAGCGUUGUCCGGAAUCAUUGGGCGUAAAGCGCGUGUAGGCGGUCCGGUAAGUCCGCUGUGAAAGUCGGGGGCUUAACCCUCGGAUGCCGGUGGAUACUGUCGGGCUUGAGUACGGAAGAGGCGAGUGGAAUUCCUGGUGUAGCGGUGAAAUGCGUAGAUAUCGAGAGGAACACCUGCGGCGAAGGCGGGUAGCUGGGCCGACACUGACGCUGAUGCGCGAAAGCCAGGGGAGCGAACGGG
rnacentral:rRNA from 1 species